CUUCAUUAUUAAGGGGAGCUAAUUACUAUUGGAAGGAAAAAUCCUGUGUCAAAGUAGCCUCAAAACCAGAACAGGAAACAGGGUGUCACCUGAGGCUGAGUGGGCUGGACAUGAAACAUCCAAGAAGAAUGGAUGGAAGCUGGCAACUCUGCCUUUUUUUGUACUAGCUGAAGGUCUUGCCUUGUCUCCCAAAAAUACAGAUCCCUCCAGCUCAAAGGCUCCAAAAUGUGACUCUUGAAAAAUAAAGGCAGCAGACUUUGUUCCUUCCAUGAAGUAGCUCAGUGUCUUCAUGGCAUCUCUGCAGCUCACUAAACGCUCACAGCCAGCACCACAUUGCGCAACACAUGGGAAAAGGGAAAAAGAAAGAAGGGGAAACUCAGAAGAAACGUAACAGAGGAUGUGCCCACCAAGAGUCCAGCUGCAAAGUUCCCACUUGCCAUCAAGUUCAGCAUCUUGGAUUUGUGACAUCCCCAGAAGAGAGGGGCUCGGAUGAGGCACAGCAAGGUCAGCCUUGUUUCUCCUGGUGAGCUGCCAGCCUGCUGUUUCCCACCACGCUCUCAGUGGUGCUGGCGAGGCUGUGGUGGCUCAGGGGUGCUGAAAGCAGGCCCGAUGCACAUCGAUAGUGUUGAUGCUACGCCUGGUUUGUCACACACAAAAGUGACUCUGCCCUGCCUGUCCCUGCAUCAAAACAGCCUCUUAGAGUGACAUUCCGGGGCUCUUUUUCAGACCCCUUCAUCCAUGGAAGGAGUAAGCGAGGGAAGCUGGGAGACAGAUGUGCAGCUGAUGCAAACACAAAUCCUCCUAAUGAGCUCACUGGAGCUGAACCAGUUCCAUCAGCAGAAGAAAUUUCCCUUUUUCCCCAGGUGACCUGCAGCCUGGCUCACUCAUACCGAGUCUGAGUGCUGUUGUUUUCUCCCAGGAACCUGCUUCCUGUAUGUUCUGAAAGGGAUGGUGAAGGCCCGAGGGAAGAGCUGAGGGCACAGAGCUGGAGCACCAAAGACAGUGUUGGUGAUUAACCACCCUGGUGGCUGCUGGGUUUCUUCUUGGGUGGCUCAAUUUGGCAGUGUGAGGCACUGACCUGGUGUCCUUCUGCAUGGCAAGGAUGCACUGUAUCAGCCGGCAAAAACCUGGGUACAUGUAAUCCUUUACAGCUCAUCCACCCUCUCCUUAGAAGACACUUUUCUUUUUUAUUAUAGGGGGUAAUAAAUAAAAAAAAAUCAUAUUUUUACAUAAUCAGCAACAACAAAGCUUUAGGGACUUCCUGAGAAUCUGAAAAAUUGAUUGCAAAAACCAACAAAAAGACAUCUCCAGCAGUUAAAACUCAGGGCUGUGCUUUGAACUUUUGUCACGUUUUUUAAACAAAGUCAUCAGCUGUGAUUGCAUCCAGUUUGAGAUCAUUGCCAUAAUUAAUUUUAAUUAAAGUAUACUUAACUUAAAUCUUAUGAAGGUUUCUUUCAUGUCCCUGUAUAGCACCGAUAUUCACGUAUGAUAGGACAUCAUUCACAUGCAAUUUUGCAGUUCGAUGUUGACUCACACAGCACCUGCCAGCUUAGCCAUGCUUUGAAAAUUCAAAAUACGUUUCUGCAAGCAGGUUGUAGUGAAUGCCAAUACGAUGAUUACAUAAACAGAGGAAUCUACUGUCAUGCAUAACCACAAUUUUGUAAAUACCACAUCACACGUGUCCUCACACGUGCCGAUAGGUUUUUAUAGCAUAUAGGGGAUUGAUUUUGCUGUGCCCUCAUCAAUCUAUUCCAUGUGUUGAUCUCAGUUUGAGGUGAUGAUGUGCUGUGGACAGGGAUUUGAUCCACACUUUCAAAAUCUCUGUAACUCUGGCUGUUUGACUGACAAAUUAAUCUCCUGCUCCCCCAAACUAGAGCCAGCCCCAGCUGCUGUGUCGUUCACUUUUGGGAAACUGUGAAAAACAGUGAGUGCAGCUACAACUGUCUUGAGAGUCAGAAAUGUUUGGUAUGGAUAUAAAAGUGUUCCUGGGAGAACAGGAGAGGCCAUCUAAAUACCUAAUUGGCUUUAUUCUCACUAUACAUUCCUUAGGCAACUGCCUGCCAGGUCAAAGCAAGUGAUAUAAUUCCCUUCAGACCUCAAAUAGAGACAUUCUGACACAGAAAUCAGAAAACCAGCAAGUAUAUAAAGGUGGGAUACUAUUCAUUAGCUUAUGAAAAUAUAAUUUGGCUUUAGUAGAAAAUUAAACAGAAAUAUUUCUUUCACAUAUUUGAAACAAAUGUAUGGAGAACGUAAAUUAUUUACCAUACAAAUCUCCAUAUAAGCAGGUCCCUGAGUUUAGGUAAGGCUGGAAAUAGUAUUAUUUGAAAAGGUGUUGAUUGAAAAUUGCUUGUCUUCCUGAAAUUUACUGCCACCUUGAAUUAGUAUUCCUCAUGGUAAGUGCUUGUCAAGCACAUGGCCAAUAAAUAACGCGGGUGGUGUAAACACAGCUAUGUGAUCAGGAAGUUAAAAAAAUGUUUGCUAAUGCCUUUUGGGGGGUCUUCCUGUUUCCCAGAAGAAGAGUUUUCCUGCCCAGAACAUUCUCAGAUAUCUGUAUGAGCCCGUGCUGGCUCAGCCAACAGUUCACCUCUGUUCUGCAGAUUUUAGCCACAGGAAUCGUUUCCAGUUCCGCUUCCCUAUUGCCUCGUGUUCUCAAAGGGGAGCGGGUGCAAUCAGGAAUACCCAGCAUUACUAUUGUUGUUGCUAAACCAAAUGAGA